rnacentral:rRNA from 1 species
CAAAAACAUGUCUUUUUGAUUAUAAUUUAAAGUCUAACCUGCCCAAUGAGGAGUUAAAUGGCCGCGGUAUUUUGACCGUGCAAAGGUAGCAUAAUCAUUAGUUUUUUAAUUGAAAGCUGGUAUGAAUGGUUGGACGAGAAAAUAACUGUCUCGAUUUAAAUUAAAUUAGAAUUUUAUUUAUGAGUAAAAAAGCUCGUAUGAGUUUAAAAGACGAGAAGACCCUACCCAAUUUAAUAUAUCUAUAUAUAUAUUAUUUUUAGAAUUAAUAAUAAGUUAUAUAUAAUUAUAUUUUGUUGGGGUGAUAGAAAAAUUAAAUUAACUUUUUUUAUAUAAAAACAUUAAUGUAUGAAAAAAUGAUCCGUUAAUUACGAUUAUAAGAUUAAAUUACCUUAGGGAUAACAGCGUAAUUUUUUUUUAGAGUUCUUAUCGAAAAAAGAGUUUGCGACCUCGAUGUUGGAUUAAAAUUAACUUUUGGUGUAGGGGCU